GUGAUUGGACAAAAAGGAUAUGAUCUAAAUCCAGCAAGGCCUGUCUGUUUAGAUUCUUCUUGGCCUCUCUGUGCAGUAUUCCUUCCUCCAGAGUAUAGGACAUGACCCUCUCUGAAAUGAGGGUCUUAAGACCCACAAUCAGAAACGUAGGGGAAUAUUAGAGUCCUGUCUAGGGGCAGGUGAAAGGAGGGCAAAGAAAGAAAGAUUCUGUUUCCUGAAACACCCAACAUUACAUUAUAGAAAAGACUAUAACAGGGGCUAUGGGAAUUAUAAGCCAGGACGACGGACAAAAACCAACGUAUAUCAUAAUGCCACACGUGGCCCAUUUUAAAAUCUCAGAGAUAUGUCCGUUCUUAAAAUGCAGCUGGGGUCCUGGCUUUGAGGUGGAAAUAAUGCAAACAACUGCUGAUGGUGCAGUGUCACAAAUGUGAAGGCCAGGAAAACACUACAGUAUUCCAGUUAUUUUGAUAUAUGUGUCCUCUAAUGGCUAAGAGUAAAGAUUUUCACUUUUUAAAAUCUUUGACCGAGCACUUUGGGAGACCGAGGCGGGCAGAUCACCUGAGGUCAGGAGUUCGAGACCAGCCUGGCCAGCAAGGCAAAACCCUGUCUCUACAAAACUACAAAGACAUUAGCUGGGCAUGGUGGUGCGCACCUGUAAUCCCAACUACUCAGGAGGCUGAGGUGGGAGAAUCGCUUGAACUCGGGAGGCGAAGUUUGCAGUAAGCUGAGAUUGUGCCACUGCACCCCAGCCUGGGCACCAGAGUGAGACUCUGUCUCAAAAAAACAAAACAAAACAAAACAAAAAAAACCUGAAUUAUCACCUUGGCUAAAUGAAUCACUAUUAUUUUACAGUAACUUGUGAUCCUAUUUUGAGCAAAUGUCUUAAACCUUUGCUAUUUGACAAACUUUUUAAAAUCAAAAUUUCAAAAUUCAUACUUUCGACCUCAGGCUAAUUUUGGGGAAUAUUAGAGCCCUGGAAGUCCAUAUCAGGCUUAUUUGGUAUGUAAAAAUCAUACAGGAAGCAUUGUCAAAUAUGAAAUGGUGUUUAACUUUCUUCAGGUUGGCCGGGCACUGUGGCUCACGCCUGUUAUUCCAGCCCUUUGGGAGGCCAAGGUGGGUGGAUUACCUGAGGUCAGGUGAUUGAGACCAGCCUGGCCAACAUGGUAAAACCCCAUUGCUACUAAAAAUACAAAAAUUAGCCAAAAAUUACCAAAAAAAAAAAAAAAAAAAAUGGUGGCGGGUGCCUGUAAUCCCAGCUACUCGGGAGGCUGAGGCAGAAGAAUUGCUUGAACCAGCUAGGCGGAGGUUGCAGUGAGCCAAGAUCGUGCCAUCGCACUCCAGCCUGGGUGACAGAGCGAGAUUACAUCUCAAAACAAACAAACAAACCAAAAAAACAAAACAAAACAGGGCUGGGCGCCAUGGCUCACGCCUGUUAUCCCAAUCCACAAGGCAUGGCAGAAGUCAGAGCCGAGACCAGCCUGGCCAACAUGGUGAAACCCCAUCUCUGCUAAAAGUACAAAAAUUAGCUGGGUGUGGUGGUGGGCACCUGUAAUCCCAGCUACUUGGGAGGGUGAAGCAGGAGAAUCAUCUGAACCUGGGAGGUGGAGGUUGCAGUGAACCAAGAUCGCACCAUUGCACUCCAGCCUGGUGGGGAAGACGAGACUCCACUCGCCCCCGCCAAAAAAAAAAAAAA
rnacentral:lncRNA from 1 species